UCCCUAUCCGUCGCAGGCGUAGGAAAUUUGAGAAGACCUGUCCUUAGUACGAGAGGACCGGGAUGGACGUACCUCUGGUGUACCAGUUGUCCUGCCAAGGGCAUGGCUGGGUAGCUAUGUACAGAAUGGAUAAGCGCUGAAAGCAUCUAAGCGCGAAGCCAACUUCAAGAUAAGAUUUCCCACCGCAAGGGUAAGACCCCAGAAAGACUAUCUGGUUGAUAGGUCGAAGGUGUAAGUGCAGCAAUGUAUUUAGCUUAUCGAUACUAAUAGGUCGAGGACUUGACCAAU
rnacentral:rRNA from 1 species